AGACUAUGGUUAAGGCCCCAAAAUAUCAGCUAAGUGAUAAAGGGUAAAAGGAGUUCAUAAUCUCAGACAGCGAGGAGGUUGGCUUAGAAGCAGCCAUCCUUUAAAAAGUGCGUAACAGCUUACUCGUUGAGGUUGUGAGCCCUGAAAAUUGACGGGUCUAAGCUGAUUGCCGAUACCAUAGUACAUUAAAUUGUAGGUAAGUAGGCGUUUUUUUAGGGUAGAAGCUUUUCUGUAAGGGAAAGUGGACCUGAAAGAAAUGAGAAUCCUGGCGGUAGUAGGAUCUUAGCAGAGUGAGAAUCUCUGUCACCGUAAGGGCAAGGGUUUCUUGGCAAUGUCAAUCAGCCAAGAGUUAGUUGGUCCUAACUAAAGUCUUAAGAGACUAUUUGGAAAGGGAAAAAGGUUAAUAUUCCUUUACUAUUUUAGUAUGUACGGUAACGUAAGUUUGUUUCCUGACGCUUCUGGAUAGAUCAACACAUCCUGUCGGUUGUGUUAACAAGAAUAAAUCAAUGAAGUAUCAUAAUGAUGAGAAGUUGAUUAAAUCUUGGAAUAGUGGAUCUAUGAUUCAUUUGAUUGAUUC
rnacentral:rRNA from 1 species